UUUUGGUCUGCUUUUCCAGUGUAUCUGGGCCCCCCUCAUCGGGAUGUGAAGGUUCCUGAGUUUGCCUUGUCUGCAGCACAUCUGCGAACACGUCCUGAACUCAUCGCUCGAUACCUCAUUAAGUUCAUCUUCCCAGAGGAUGUCCUGGUGCGCAGCAAUGUGUACGGCGGGAUGCGGCGUGGCAUUCAGGCCCUGGACCACAACAAGAUCUCUGCGCUCCGAGAGCACCUGCUGGAGCGCUUUCCCUGGAUGAGGCUGGAGGAAGACGGAAGCGACUGGAAGGUUUGCGUGGGCGCUAUAAACAGUACCAUACGCAAGUUUCGAUAUGAGCGCAAGAUGGGCAUCAAGAGAGGGAUACGCUAGUACGGAGUAUCAUUUGGAGAGGUGUUUGUACACGGUGACUGUUUGUGUCAAGAAAUGCUGUCAGUAGCUGUUACUGUGUGUUCUUCUAGAAUGAGAUUAGUAUUUCAUUUAAUUUGUGAUUUUACUGGUUUGUUUCUUCAAUGUUUAUUGGUUUUAAACAGGAAAUCUGAAAAAAAGACUUUUAUUUGGCAAUAUGAAAUGUACAUUAAUAUAUAUAUAUAGAGAUGUUUGAGCAAAAAUGGUUAAUAUAUGUAUUGUGAACAAAAUAAUUGUUAAUAUAUUCAGUUUUCAAAACUUUUCUCUCCAAUGAAACUUAGCAGCUAUAGAAAAGAGAGAAAAAAAUUUGACAGCUGUUGUCAAAACAGGUAUUUGCACUUCAGUUUCGAACAUAGUGUCAGUUUAGAUGAUUAGAUGAGUGAAGUGAAUAAAACAGGUUUAGGUUAACAAGUCACGUUGCACAGAGUAUGAGUGUCAGAUCCUCCGGAGUAUGAACUAUCACUUCUUGUGUCACAAACCUGAAAUGAAGCACAGUAGCAAUGAUUAA